rnacentral:hammerhead_ribozyme from 1 species
UCAUUGAUGAGGAGUCUCACAACAGGACGAAACGGCCGUCCAGUGC